rnacentral:rRNA from 1 species
GACAGAGGAUGCAAGUGUUACCCGGAAUUAUUGGGCGUAAAGCGUUUGCAGGUGGAAUUUUCAGCCCUUUGUAAAAUCUUUAGGCUCAACCUAAAACUAGCAAAGGAUACUAUUUUUCUUGAGCAUGGUUCAGGUUAGGGGAAUUUCCAGUGGAGCAAUAAAAUACGAAGAGAUUGGAAGGAACAUCAGUUGCGAAGGCGCCUAACUAGACUAUAGCUGACACUGAGGGACGAAAGCUAAGGGAGUGAACGGG